rnacentral:rRNA from 1 species
CCUACGGGGGACAGCAGUGGGGAAUAUUGCACAAUGGGGGAAACCCUGAUGCAGCCACGCCGCGUGAGUGAUGAAGUAUUUCGGGAUGUAAAGCUCUAUCUGCAAGGAAGUGAAUGACGGUACCUGACUAAGAAGCCCCGGCUAACUACGUUCCAGCAGCCGCGGUAAUACGGAGGGGGCGAGCGUUAUCCGGAUUUACUGGGUGUAAAGGGGGCGUAGACGGUUCUGCAAGUCUGAAGUGAAAGCCCGUGGCUUAACCGCGGAACGGCUGUGGAAACUGUGGAACUGGAGUGCUGGAGAGGCAAGCGGAAUUCGUAGUGUAGCGGUGAAAUGCGUAGAUAUCAGGAGGAACACCAGUGGCGAAGGCGGCUUGCUGGACAGUAACUGACGUUGAGGCUCGAAAGCGUGGGGAGCAAACAGGAUUAGAUACCCUUGUAGUC